AUGCAGUCGAGCGCGAAAGGUCUUCGGACUGAGUAGAGCGGCGGACGGGUGAGUAACGCGUAGGAAUCUACCCAGUGGUGGGGGACAACUCGGGGAAACUCGAGCUAAUACCGCAUACGCCCUACGGGGGAAAGCGGGGGAUCUUCGGACCUCGCGCCAUUGGAUGAGCCUGCGUCGGAUUAGCUAGUUGGUGGGGUAAAAGCCUACCAAGGCGACGAUCCGUAGCUGGUCUGAGAGGACGAUCAGCCACACUGGGACUGAGACACGGCCCAGACUCCUACGGGAGGCAGCAGUGGGGAAUAUUGCGCAAUGGGCGAAAGCCUGACGCAGCCAUGCCGCGUGUGUGAAGAAGGCUCUAGGGUUGUAAAGCACUUUCAAUUGGGAGAAAAAGCCGACGGCUAAUACCGGUCGGUCUUGAUGUUACCUUUAGAAGAAGCACCGGCUAACUCCGUGCCAGCAGCCGCGGUAAUACG
rnacentral:rRNA from 1 species